GCCUGAUACCACAGCCUGUUCCCUGAGCCCUAAGAAGAGAAGGGAUCCUAUGAGCAAAAACAUGCCUGGCAAGCAAGAAGUUAUGCCCCUGCUCAAGACAAUUUUUAAUUUCUAGGAAUGAUUUUUGUGUGACAAUCUCCUAAGUUUCUCAUGAAGGUAUUUCUCAGCUCUCCUGAUUUGCUGAUUGCCCGAAUAGGGAUUUUUCUUGCCAUUAGGGAUGAUUUCAUGCAACCGCUUAAAAAAGCUGAAUGAACAUUUAAAAACCCUGCUUGGUUACCUUUUGCUACUAAAUGAUGUACACAGCGAGUAUCUGUGACUCCCACCCCACGGCCCAGAGCCACCCCCCCUCAGAGGGUUGGGGGGAAACAAGGUCCCCAGACAGGUGAAGAUGCAGAGGAGGUGAGAGUAUUUCUAUCCUACCCUUUUGUUGGGUAGUUUUGAUUUUUAGCCCAUAAAGUGAGCGUUUGGUGCUGCAAAUGAGUCGUGGUAUCUCUCAAUGAGAGCUCUGAGUCAAAUGGCAUCAGAUGCUCAUCUGUCCUAUUUUGUAGCUUCAGAUCUGAUCGGAGUGGCUAUCGAUGGAUCCUCCCUGGAAGAGGUCAGAUAGAUGCUUCUGAUUAGUGUCCAUAAACCAGAAUCUCACCAGCGGAGGGAAAGAUGGUCUUAGAAAUGCAGUUGCCUUUGCCGGGCCGGCCGGCACCAACACACUGGCACAGAUGUGGGUUCAUGUGCCCACUCAGCUGGUGUGUGGGAGCAUUUUGCAGAUGGGCACCUACGCUAACGUGAAUGCUUUGGGUUUUCUCUUUCAGCUACUGAAGCCGUCCCAGAUCCAGCAGAAACAACUCCUACAGUCGGCAUCAUUUCUACUUCAGCAGA
rnacentral:lncRNA from 1 species